UCCCCAGUGUGGAAGCUUUAGUUCUUUUGCUCUUUGCAAUGAAUCUUGCUGCUGCUCACUCUUUGGGUCCACGCUGCGUUUACACUGUGUUUAUGAGCUGUAACACUCACCACAAAGGUCUGCAGCUUCACUCCUGAAGCCAGCAAAGACCACGAACCCACCAGGAAGAAGGAACAACUCCAGACACGCAGCCUUAAGAGCUGUAACACUCACUGCCAAGGUCUUCAGCUUCACUCCUGAGCCAGCCAGACCAUGAACCCACCAGAAGGAAAAAACUCGGAACACAUCCCAACAUCAGAAGGAACAAACUCUGGACAUGCCGCCUUUAAGAACUGUAACAACGCAAGGGUCCGCGGCUUUAUUCUUGAAGUCAGUAAGACCAAGAACCCAAUUCCGGACACGUUUGGACUGCUCCAAGUGCAAUUCAAAGAUGUUUGUUACAAAUGAAGAUCCUCUCCUCAGAGAUCCUCAUUCCCUGCAUUUGAGAUGGGCCCUGGGAACCUUCAUUAUUAACUCCUGAAUUUCACUUGGACCAACACGGUGAUGGUGACAAGCCCAGGUUCAUGGUUUAACAUUUACUAUGUGGCAGGUGGUAGACUAACGGAUAAGAAAAAAAUGGUAUCCCAAGGAAUUUACAGUGUAAAAGAGGAUUAAGUCAAAUAUACCUUCACACAGAAACACAUACAUGCAUCUGUGCAUGUCAUCAUAAACCACAGGAAAGGCAGGAAUGAAAGAUGAUGGGAUUUGGUGGAGAAAGACUGCAUGAGAGGGGCCUUACAGCACAGAUAAGGUUUUUGACAAAGGGAAGAUGGAGCGAUACAGUAUUUUAAUCCAAGGGAAAGAAAGAAAGCAGCUGAAGAGAAUAGAGAAUAAAAACUGAGGAUAAGGAUAACAAUGACAAUGAAGAGAAUGAAGAUUAUGGCAAUGACUAAGUGCCAGACACUGACGUAGGACAGACAUUCCUAUCACUUACCCUCGGAGUAACCCUUCAAAGCAGGUGAUAUGCAGAUGGAAAGGCAGCUCAACAUCUGAGAAGCCAGUCUUACUCCCUGCAGGCAACAGCUGCUUCCAGAAAACAGCCCUGUAAUUGUCACCAUCAAAUCCAUAUAUUUUCAAGGGAAGUUGGUCCCACACCAGAAGUCAUAGCUGAAUCACCAGCAGUAAUGCAGGGACAUACUGGUUGCUUCUUGGCUUUUCCAACCCUCUGCCAUGCUUGAACAUCUUUGUGAAAGUCCAGGAACAACAAAUAAGCUUAAGGAUAAAAGCCCCCCAGCCAUACCACCACAACCCCCUGUUAAACUCAUGCAUGACUUGUAGAAUCCUUUCCCCACUGUCACUAAAAGGCUUUUUACAUUUUCCCUCCUUAAAACACCAGUUUACUGAAUGGAACGCUAUUUCCUAAAUAUUUGCUACACACACAGCUGUAUAUAGAGUUCCCAGGAGAUGACUUUUUUCUUGUCAUCUUUUAAAACUACAGUUAUAUGUUGAUUUAAUUAUCUUCUCUCUAGAUUACUUCACCAAAGUACAGUUCCUACAGGAAGAUAAUGAUCUGACCUAACCUACUAUUGGCUGAAGGAAGGAGAAAAGCAGCUGAAGAUGUCUGUUGAGUGAUUACCCUCAUAAUCCGUGACUAAGAACAUCCAAAUCAGCAUGGCUUCUUCCUGUCUGAAAUUAUUACUACUUAGGGUUUUUCACGUGUUAUUUCAUUUAUUGAUUAUUCUGUUUUAAACUUGCAAGACGUAUUGUCUCUGGUAUAGCAAAACCAACAGAUCAGGACACGACUGCCAUUGAAGAGAUAGUUUGUCAUACUCACAGAUCCCAAGACGAGAGGAGAACACACAGAGAAGCACAAGUUAUUGUGGUUUCUGCUGCAAGGCACA
rnacentral:lncRNA from 1 species